rnacentral:rRNA from 1 species
UACGUAGGGGGCAAGCGUUGUCCGGAUUUAUUGGGCGUAAAGCGUGCGCAGGCGGUUUCUUAAGUCAGAUGUGAAAGCCCCGGGCUUAACCUGGGAACUGCGUUUGAAACUGGGAGACUUGAGUGUGGCAGAGGGGGGUGGAAUUCCACGUGUAGCAGUGAAAUGCGUAGAUAUGUGGAGGAACACCGAUGGCGAAGGCAGCCCCCUGGGUUAACACUGACGCUCAUGCACGAAAGCGUGGGGAGCAAACAGG